rnacentral:tRNA from 1 species
GGAGCGUUGGCCGAGCGGUUUAGGCAGCGAACUCAUAAUUCGCCACACGCUGGUUCGAACCCAGCACGCUCCA